AUAGCGUAUAUUAAAGUUGUUGCAGUUAAAAAGCUCGUAGUUGAAUUUUAGGCUUGGUUGGACGGUCUGCCUUAGGGUUUGUACUGUCCUGGCUGGGUCUUACCUUCUGGUAAACUGUCGUGUCGUUUAUUCGGCGCGGCAGGGAACCAGGACUUUUACUUUGAAAAAAUUAGAGUGUUUAAAGCAGGCUUCUCGCUUGAAUACAUUAGCAUGGAAUAAUAGAAUAGGACUUUUGGUUCUAUUUUGUUGGUUUCUAGGACCGAAGUAAUGAUUAAUAGGGAUAGUUGGGGGCAUUAGUAUUUAAUUGUCAGAGGUGAAAUUCUUGGAUUUAUGAAAGACUAACUUCUG
rnacentral:rRNA from 1 species